UGAAUCUUUAUAAUAAAUCUGAUCUUUUCACCCAAAAAUCAGUGGUUGUUCUGGCUGUGCAUUUUUAUCCAAUGGCCAUGUACGUCAUGUCACGGGAUCUUUGUCCAUAGAAACAAACAAUACAUAUUACAUAGGGAAGACCCCACCCCAGCAACCACAAAGCCCGAGACGGAUAAACUCGAGCAUGCCACAACAAAACACAUAAUCCAUUUUGCCUUCUCACCUUCAAAAAUCGCCAUCAAUCAGACAUGCUUUCAGUUUUCUUCUGUCACCUCAGCAUCCUCUCCGUUGCCUUCGAUUCAUUAUUUUGUAGGUGCCUCGUCAUUUGUUAGCAUAAGAUGAACCCCAACCUCUCCAUUGCCGUCAUUAUGCGGCCCCGGCGCCUCUCGUUGAAGAGCAGUUGCUCCCAAGCAUAGUUCCCCCGUUCAUCUUCAGUUCGAGGACCUGCACAAUAAUUCAUAAAAGGAGCAAGCAUAAUAGAUAAAUUCGGCAAAUGACCUAAUCAUCUUGAACUCAAAACAAGCUCUGUUCCUGAGCUUCCCUAUUGCCCAACAUAUUGUAGCUAAACAUAUGUAUGGUAGAUUCCUACUUCCAGGAAUGAAAUUAGGAGUCCACCAAACAUAUUGUGUAAAGCAACCAGGUCUAGAUUUUGCCCCCAAACAUUUACUGGCAGUACUUCAAGCAUAUUACGCCGUAUAACGCCUAAAGAACAGAUGCAAAAUAGAUUCAUUUUCCCUGGCAAAAUGAGUCCACUUCCUUUUUACCAUGUGAUCUUUUGUUGCAAUGGCAUCGUGCCAAAAUAAGCCACAACCAUAUCUUAAUUUUUAGUGGUACUUUAGCUUUUCAUGGAUGUUUAAAAGACCUGUCAGGACCAGCAUAAGAUAAAAAUGAUAAUAAAUAGUUUUCACUAAAAAAAGGCAGUUUUGUUCCAUUUCCAUCUAGGGGCAUCCUCAUCUUGGCUCAGCUUAUUGUACUAAGAAAACUUCUCAAAUGAUUGUGGUCCCGCGACUAGGCGACUAGGGUUCCCCCUCCCCACCUCCCGCCGCCGCCGGCCCCGCGCCCCACCACCACCCCCUUCCCCCCUCCCCUCUCCCUCGUCCAGACCCGCCUCGCGCCGCCUCCCCGGGAGGUGGCCGGGGCGGAGCUCGUGCCCCUCUUCCGCAGGCCCCAUCCUCCCCUUUUUCCUCUCGCCGCCGCCGGCGGUCGCUGGCGCUGGCCCGGGUGGUUCCGGCGGCGGCGGGCCUUCCCUUUCNNNNNNNNNNNNNNNNNNNNNNNNNNNNNNNNNNNNNNNNNNNNNNNNNNNNNNNNNNNNNNNNNNNNNNNNNNNNNNNNNNNNNNNNNNNNNNNNNNNNNNNNNNNNNNNNNNNNNNNNNNNNNNNNNNNNNNNNNNNNNNNNNNNNNNNNNNNNNNNNNNNNNNNNNNNNNNNNNNNNNNNNNNNNNNNNNNNNNNNNNNNNNNNNNNNNNNNNNNNNNNNNNNNNNNNNNNNNNNNNNNNNNNNNNNNNNNNNNNNNNNNNNNCGACCCUGCGGCGGCGGCAGGCGUGGUGUCGGCGCCGCUCCUUGGCGGCGGGGCGGCGUGGUGGUGCUGGGUGGCCGUUGUCGCGACCCCGGCCCAGAUCUGGGCCCGGCGGGCCCCAUCUAGGUCCUAGCGGGCCGGCUCCCCGGCGUGGCCUCGUUGUCUGCGGCGCGGUGAGGAGGAGCGGCUCAGAUGUGGGGCGUCGGCGUCGACAGCGUGCCGGCAGCAGCGCGAAGGCGGGAGCUUUACGGGCCCACGAGGGCUCGGCCGGGCCUAUGGGCCCACGGGCCUAGUGUGCUCCUGCUAUUGCGUCUGGACGGCUACCGUCGCGGACGGUGGAGGUGGGGCCCUCCCGCGUGCCGACGAUGCCGAUGCCCUAGUCCCGGCUCUGAUUCUUCGUCGCGCUGUCCUCACUUCGCGGUGCCGUGGUGAGACGGCGUGGGGGCCUUAUGUCCGCGUUGGCGCAGGGUAGUGGUUGGUCUGGUGGCUGGAUCCGGAGCUCCCGAGGUGCGGGUUGGGAUCGGGGGAAACCCCUGUCGGCGUGUCCGACACCGGCGCGGUGACGCCUGUGGGCGCCACCUGACCUUCCGGGAGGGCGUCGGGGGCUACCCUUCCUUUCGCCUCGUCGUGUACCGGGGGAAACCCUUGGCAGCAGCGUCGCCAUCGUCGCGAUCCUUCUUGAAGGUGUUGAUAGGUGCCGGCGCUCCGGAGUCUUGAAGCCUAGUGGAAGAUUCUGGUGGGCGCAGUGGUCGCGAGGCUUCUUCGUUUUUGUUGAUCCGCCGUUGUCGGCAUUUGUUUCUUUGUUCUUUUUCUGUCAUUUCUUUUGGGCGUGACUGUGCUGCUUCCGCCCAGCAUCUAUCCAUGUAUAGUUCGGUUGGUUGUUUUGUAUAUAAAGCGAGGGAAAACCCUUUUUCAGAAAAACUUCUCAAAUCAUUCAACUGCCUCGUAUGCCCAUUGUUUAGCCAUCUUCUAAAGGUCAGAGCAUAUCCAGCAUCAGCCAUUUGACUAACAGUUUUCUCUGUUUCGUUCCAUAUUGCGUAGAGCUCAGGGAAGAUUGUUAUAAGGGGCAGAUCUCCACACCAGCAAUCAUUCCAAAAUUCAGUUUGCUCAAGCUCAACAAUGACAAUGUCUCCGAUGUUACACGUUCGAGAGAAUGAAGAAGGUCGGUCCCAAGGAAGUUUGAUGUACUACUCCCUCCGUUCUUUUUUUAUAAAACGUUUCAAAUAGCUGACAUUGAAUUGUUUUGAGCGUUGUCUGAAAUAUCUACAACGUCUUAAAAAAGUGAAUAAAGGGAGUAGUAAUUUUACUCCCUCCGUUCCUAAUUAUAAGGUUUUUUAGACAUUUUAAAUGGAUUACAAGAUACGGUUGUAUGUAGACAUAUUUUGGAGUGUAGAUUCACUCAAUUUGCUCCUUAACUAGUCAUUUGUUGGAAUCUUUAGAAAGACCUAUACUCCCUCCGUUCCCAAAUAUUUGUCUUUCUAGACAUUUUAAAUGGACAUAACAUACGGAUGUAUGUAGACAUAUUUUAGAGUGUAGAUUCACUUAUUUUGUUUCGUAUGUAAUCACUUGUUGAAAUCUCUAGAAAGAUAAAUAUUUGGGAACGGAGGGAGUAUUUGGGAAGGGGGGAGUAUUUAUUAAGGGUGUUUGUACUGCUAUGUUUGGUUAACAGACAUGAGUGUUCUUUUUGGAAAGAAAAACAACAAGUACAGUACCCUUCACUCUUUUCUUUUCUUUUUUUAGCACAGUACACUUCACUCUUAACUCAACUUUGCUACAGAGAGUGGGGGAAUUUCAGCUGUAGUACACCCAUGCUCUUCUACAUGGAGCGAACAGAACAGUUUAACACACCCACGCAGGCUCCCGGCGGACGGACGUCUGACGCGCAGCCAGACGAUGAGACGAGGCCCGCCGGCCGCCGCGAUGCCACCAACGUCCACCUCGCCGGGGGACCUAGUGGCGCUCUCCGCCCGGUGCUCCACGAAGCGCGACCUCCGCCUCCUCCACGGCGCUCUCCUGCGCCGCCGCCACCUCCUCCCCACCGCGGACGCCGUCGCGGCGCUCGCCAAGCUGCUCCGGUUCGCCGCCGUCUCCCCCGCCGGCGACCUCCGCCAAGCAGCCGCGAUGCUCUCCACCCACCUCCCCUUCAUCACCUCGGCCUCCUCCCACCCCGCCUUCUUCUACAACACCCUCAUGCGCGGCCUCGCCGCCUCCUCCUCGCCCAGCGACGCCAUCGGGCUCUUCGCCGCGAUGCGCCGCGCGGGCGCCGCGCCCGACGCCUUCACCUUCACCUUCGUCCUCAAGUCCUGCGCUCGCUGCCCCUCGGGCCGGCGAUUACCUUCCGACCUCCACGCCCAGGCGAUCAGGCACGGCUGCCUCGGCGCGCACACGCACGUGCACAAUGCGCUGCUUCACGCCUACGCGUGCCGGGCGGCCGUCGACGACGCGUGCAGGGUGUUUGAGGAAAUUCCGGUUCGGGACGUGGUUUCGUUCUCAGGGCUACUCACUGCGCAUCUCAAAGCCAGUGAUUUGGAUGCCGCCCGUGUUGUGUUCGACAAGAUGCCUCACCGGGAUGUCGUUUCUUGGACUGCGGUGAUUUCAGCAUAUGCCAAGGCUUGCCGGCCACAGGAGGCCCUGGCAUUGUUUGAUGCCAUGCCGAUGCAGCCAGACGAGGUGACCAUGGUGAGUAUCGUGUCUGCGUGCACCACGCUCGGGGAUCUUGCAACUGGGGAGCGCGUGCGGAGGCACAUUGAUUCCCUUGGUUUUGGAUGGAUGGUGUCACUUCACAACGCACUCAUGGACAUGUAUGCUAAGUGUGGUUCCCUCCCUGAAGCUCGAGCUUUGUUUGAUGGGAUGACGGUGAGGAGCUUGGCAUCUUGGAACACGCUGAUCUCGGCAUAUGCAUCACAUGGCGAUCUGGACAACACGAUUGCUGUGUUCUAUCAGUUGCUGGCAGAAGGGAACACUGUGAGGCCAGAUGGGGUGACGCUUCUUGCAGUGCUCAUGGCGUACACGCACAAGGGCUGUGUUGAGGAGGGGCGAGCCAUGUUCAAUGCGAUGCAGCGAGGCGACUUUGGCAAAGUGGAAUUCACAGUCGAACACUAUGGGUGUCUGGUGGACAUGCUUGGUCGGGCAGGGAAACUCGAGGAGGCAUACCAAAUGAUUGAGCAAAUGCCAAUUCCAAGCAAUGCUGUGAUCUGGGGCGUGCUACUUGGUGCUUGUCGGACUCAUGGGGAUAUUGACAUGGCAGAGCGGGCUGUGCAGGAGUUAAGGAACCUAAACCCAGAGGAAGGUGGGUACUACAUUUUGCUCAGUGAUAUGUACACAUCUGCUGGUCGGAUAGCAGAGGCCACGGAGAUUAGACGUGCCAUGAAUGAGAAGGGGGUCCAGAAGACUACAGGCCGGACCACUGCCUUUCUGCCUCAGCUGUAGUUUACUUACCGUCAUUGGCUAUCCUUCAGAUCACAAUUCACAAGCAUGCCAUGCCAGCCAGAUGGUACAUACCAAUCUAUCUUCUCUUCACACCAGAUAAGCAUAUGGAUUAGUCACAUUUGUCUUAGUCUUAUUUCCAAGGUGUGAUGAUUGAUAUCAAUGGUGUAAGGCUGUCGGCAACUAAGGUUCAGGUAAUCAAAAUACCUGUGCUGAUAGACUAGUUGAGUCGAGUCAGGUGAUGGUACAUAGACAAUGGCCACACCAAAGCCAGUUUCAGUAUGUAUGCAUGUUAAGCAUAGCCCAGUUUAGCUGUCACUUACAUUAUUGUGUAUUUAUGUACGAGUCCAUACUUGAUGCUUACACACAAAAAAGUGGCAUUUGCGGUAGGCCUGAAUUUUAAAACCAACCCCUUCAGCAUCUUAAGUCUUGACUACCAGGUGCACACAGUCAUUAUAUGAUUGCCUCUGGCAUGGGCGAGAAACAAGUGCGUAUUUCCAAGACUGGUAUCAUCUCACCUUGUGCGGCUCACUAAUAAAUGUGGCUGCCAGAACCCAGAAGUUGAUGAAAUUACCAACUUCAAGUGAUUAUACCUUGUGGGCUCCAGCCAUAGUUACUUUAACAAACUUCAAGUAAGUACUUAAAGUUCCAGAAGUCUUUAAAUUUGAACUCUUGCCUUGCUGGUUUUGGAGGGAUUGUUAGCAUAAACUUAGCAAUAAUGUAUAACUUUUUUUUAGAAAAGCAGUGUGGCACACUACAAUCAUUUUCCGUUGAGCUAUUAGCAAGUGAUAGGUUUUCUUGGAAUUAAUUUGGUGGUUGUUGAACCAUAAAUUGACUGUUUUUUAGAAUCCCAUGAGUUGACAGUUAAAGUCCACAAAAAUGUCUUGCGAUCUUCAUUUUAACAAGUUCUGGGGAUCCCUCACAGAUUCCAUGUUGAUUAAGGCUGCGUUCGGAAUCCCUCCGCUCCAUAACUCCUUCGCGGAGCGGAGUGGCAUUCAGUAGAAAUUUGGGGAGCGGCCAAUAGGUAGCUCCGCGCGCUCCGCUCCCUGAUGAAGGAGCGUGCGAUUGCCGAACACAGCCUAAGUUUACCCAUUCGCUACGUAUGAUUGGCGAUUCCCUGUUCGCAUCUUUGUUAUAAAAGCUCAUCAUGUCCUGGGAAGGGAAUUUCUUUUCACUUUGGGUGCUUAACAUUUUGCAUGUUUGAUGGAUGUUUAGGAAUUAGAGACCGUAUUCAAACUUUAAGAACCUUUUUUUGGAAGCCUACAGGCUUCCUUUUGGCGCGAACCGAUUAUAGUAGCAUAAUGUACUAGUUGUAAAUAAAUAAAAGAUAUCACAUAAUAUAUUAUAUUCAUUAAAAAACCCGUGGUAACUUGGAAUUGUACAACAUAUGGAAGUAAUAAUUGUUCAACAAUGUGUAGCAAAAUCUAAGAUAUAUAGUGUAGAAAAAUAGCAAAUGAUCAGAAAGCUUACAAAUUACAAGAUAACUUUGCGAUCCUUGAUGCUUUGAAAAUGAGUGAUGAUGUCCUCGUCCGUAACUUGCAAGAAGAAUUCCCUUUAAACGAAUGUGACCAAGCAAUCAUUCAAGUAUUCCCUUGCAAAUUAUCUUGCCUGAACAAUUCGGAAUUGACUGCAAACAAGUCUCUAAUUUGUUUAGAUUUAAAUAAAUAGAAAGACAAGUGGUCAGACCAACUUGCUUAAACUUGUAGUAGUACGUCUGUACUGCAGCAUGCUCCCUGCUGGACACUGGAUAGCACGAGAAGAAAACUGUGUCCGUGCCAGCAGUGAUGGAUGGAUUCAGUUCGAUUAAGGAUCGGCAUGAGAGAGGAGAGAUCCCAAAUUCACAAGUUGAAGGAUCAAUGCAUCGAUCUAAUUAGUAGUCAUACCUUGGAUAGAUGAAUCUGUGGGUUGUGGCUUUGAAAUUGGAUCGAUGCCUGCUGCCCGCUGUGGGCUGCAGGGAUCAGAAGUUGAGGACCAAAGGGAGCGAGGGAUGGAUUCGUUGCGCCGCCGUGCGCACGCGCGAUCGCCGAUCAGGCGAUGGCAACAGACCUGGCGGCUCGCAUGGAACAGAGAAAGGGCUAGG
rnacentral:lncRNA from 1 species